rnacentral:rRNA from 1 species
GGGUUGUGAGGUUAAGCGACUAAGCGUACACGGUGGAUGCCCUGGCAGUCAGAGGCGAUGAAGGACGUGCUAAUCUGCGAAAAGCGUCGGUAAGGUGAUAUGAACCGUUACAGCCGGCGAUGUCCGAAUGGGGAAACCCAGUGCAAUUCGUUGCACUAUCGUUAACUGAAUACAUAGGUUAACGAGGCGAACCGGGGGAACUGAAACAUCUAAGUACCCGAGGAAAAGAAAUCAACCGAGAUUCCCCCAGUAGCGGCGAGCGAACGGGGAGCAGCCCAGAGUCUGAAUCAGCUUGUGUGUUAGUGGAACGGUCUGGAAAGUCCGACGGUACAGGGUGAUAGUCCCGUACACCAAAAUGCACAGGUUGUGAACUCGAAGAGUAGGGCGGGACACGUGGUAUCCUGUCUGAAUAUGGGGGGACCAUCCUCCAAGGCUAAAUACUCCUGACUGACCGAUAGUGAACCAGUACCGUGAGGGAAAGGCGAAAAGAACCCCGGCGAGGGGAGUGAAAAAGAACCUGAAACCGUGUACGUACAAGCAGUGGGAGCACCUUCGGGUGUGACUGCGUACCUUUUGUAUAAUGGGUCAGCGACUUAUAUUCUGUAGCAAGGUUAACCGUAUAGGGGAGCCGCAGGGAAACCGAGUCUUAACUGGGCGUUAAGUUGCAGGGUAUAGACCCGAAACCCGGUGAUCUAGCCAUGGGCAGGUUGAAGGUUGGGUAACACUAACUGGAGGACCGAACCGACUAAUGUUGAAAAUUAGCGGAUGACUUGUGGCUGGGGUGAAAGGCCAAUCAAACCGGGAGAUAGCUGGUUCUCCCCGAAAGCUAUUUAGGUAGCGCCUCGUGAACUCAUCUUCGGGGUAGAGCACUGUUUCGGCUAGGGGUCAUCCCGACUUACCAACCCGAUGCAAACUACGAAUACCGAAGAAUGUUAUCACGGGAGACACACGGCGGGUGCUAACGUCCGUCGUGAAGAGGGAAACAACCCAGACCGCCAGCUAAGGUCCCAAAGUCAUGGUUAAGUGGGAAACGAUGUGGGAAGGCACAGACAGCCAGGAUGUUGGCUUAGAAGCAGCCAUCAUUUAAAGAAAGCGUAAUAGCUCACUGGUCGAGUCGGCCUGCGCGGAAGAUGUAACGGGGCUAAACCAUGCACCGAAGCUGCGGCAGCGACACUAUGUGUUGUUGGGUAGGGGAGCGUUCUGUAAGCCUGCGAAGGUGUGCUGUGAGGCAUGCUGGAGGUAUCAGAAGUGCGAAUGCUGACAUAAGUAACGAUAAAGCGGGUGAAAAGCCCGCUCGCCGGAAGACCAAGGGUUCCUGUCCAACGUUAAUCGGGGCAGGGUGAGUCGACCCCUAAGGCGAGGCCGAAAGGCGUAGUCGAUGGGAAACAGGUUAAUAUUCCUGUACUUGGUGUUACUGCGAAGGGGGGACGGAGAAGGCUAUGUUAGCCGGGCGACGGUUGUCCCGGUUUAAGCAUGUAGGCUGGUUAUCCAGGCAAAUCCGGAUAAUCAAGGCUGAGGUGUGAUGACGAGGCACUACGGUGCUGAAGUAACAAAUGCCCUGCUUCCAGGAAAAGCCUCUAAGCAUCAGGUAACAUCAAAUCGUACCCCAAACCGACACAGGUGGUCAGGUAGAGAAUACCAAGGCGCUUGAGAGAACUCGGGUGAAGGAACUAGGCAAAAUGGUGCCGUAACUUCGGGAGAAGGCACGCUGGUGUGUAGGUGAAGUCCCUGCGGAUGGAGCUGAGACCAGUCGAAGAUACCAGCUGGCUGCAACUGUUUAUUAAAACACAGCACUGUGCAAACACGAAAGUGGACGUAUACGGUGUGACGCCUGCCCGGUGCCGGAAGGUUAAUUGAUGGGGUUAUCCGUAAGGAGAAGCUCUUGAUCGAAGCCCCGGUAAACGGCGGCCGUAACUAUAACGGUCCUAAGGUAGCGAAAUUCCUUGUCGGGUAAGUUCCGACCUGCACGAAUGGCGUAAUGAUGGCCAGGCUGUCUCCACCCGAGACUCAGUGAAAUUGAACUCGCUGUGAAGAUGCAGUGUACCCGCGGCAAGACGGAAAGACCCCGUGAACCUUUACUAUAGCUUGACACUGAACAUUGAGCCUUGAUGUGUAGGAUAGGUGGGAGGCUUUGAAGCGUGGACGCCAGUCUGCGUGGAGCCAACCUUGAAAUACCACCCUUUAAUGUUUGAUGUUCUAACGUUGGCCCCUGACCGGGGUUGCGGACAGUGUCUGGUGGGUAGUUUGACUGGGGCGGUCUCCUCCCAAAGCGUAACGGAGGAGCACGAAGGUUAGCUAAUCCUGGUCGGACAUCAGGAGGUUAGUGCAAUGGCAUAAGCUAGCUUGACUGCGAGCGUGACGGCGCGAGCAGGUGCGAAAGCAGGUCAUAGUGAUCCGGUGGUUCUGAAUGGAAGGGCCAUCGCUCAACGGAUAAAAGGUACUCCGGGGAUAACAGGCUGAUACCGCCCAAGAGUUCAUAUCGACGGCGGUGUUUGGCACCUCGAUGUCGGCUCAUCACAUCCUGGGGCUGAAGUAGGUCCCAAGGGUAUGGCUGUUCGCCAUUUAAAGUGGUACGCGAGCUGGGUUUAGAACGUCGUGAGACAGUUCGGUCCCUAUCUGCCGUGGGCGCUGGAGAAUUGAGGGGGGCUGCUCCUAGUACGAGAGGACCGGAGUGGACGCAUCACUGGUGUUCGGGUUGUCAUGCCAAUGGCACUGCCCGGUAGCUAAAUGCGGAAGAGAUAAGUGCUGAAAGCAUCUAAGCACGAAACUUGCCCCGAGAUGAGUUCUCCCUGAGACUAUAAGUCUCCUGAAGGAACGUUAAAGACGAUGACGUUGAUAGGCCGGGUGUGUAAGCGCAGCGAUGCGUUGAGCUAACCGGUACUAAUGAACCGUGAGGCUUAACCUUACAACGCCGAAG